CACGUAGUAGUGAGUGAGUACUAGUAAAAGAAUCCAUUUCUACUUUCUACACCCCCCUUGUUUCAUGCAGUACACAAUCUCAGAUGCUUCAUUAAAUACUUGAUGUCUUUUAAUUAAUACUCGUCUCAUCAUGCCUGCCAUCAUUUUCACUACACAACAAAACACAUUCAAUUUCAACACUUACGUUUCAAAACCUACCUAUACCUAGCACCUCACAUCACACACAACCAUUCAACUUUAAUUAAUAAUAAUUCAUUAUAUAAAGUAAUUAGGGUGAAUAAGUUUUACUACUACUACGUACAACUACAUUGUAUUGCUCAUUUUACUUCAUCACUGUUAAUUUACCUGUAGUACAUUCAGACACAUUAAUUCAUCAAAAUUAUGUCUUAUUUAUUUUAUUAUUUUUUCAUCCUAAUUAAUUAAUUAAUUAUUGUUGAAAAAGUAGAGACAGAGUUGGUGGCGUUGCCACAUGCGGCGUUUCUCGCUCUCUUCUCCAUCUUCACAACGCUACAAUAAAUUAAUUUUCAGUAUCCAUGCAUCAACAUUCAAAUAUUAAUUUACAAAUAAAUGUAAUAUAAGCAUUUAACAACCUUCGAUGAAAAUCAACUUGGAUCGGUUCGGUUGUGAUACCUGCAGAUUCAAAACUAACAAAUUUAUAAAAAAGUUAAUUAAGAUACAUAUAAAAGAAUGAAGAAGCAAAUGUUGGGUGGGAGGAAUGAAGCCUGGUCCGAGGAUGGGAUCGGAUCAGAUCGAUGAGAAGUAAUAUGACCUCGAGCCAGACAACAUUCCUCUCAACCUAACCUUUGCAGACGAGACGAGGAUGAAGAUAGAAGAGAUAAAAGAAGUAGUUUAAUUUGAGGGGAAUGAAGCCUGGUCCGAAGCUUUAAUUUAUAGAACGAGGGAAGGUGUAAGUGGGUGAAAAGAAAAGCCUCGAGCCAGCCAACAUUCCCCUCAAGAAGAAAGAUAUAAGAAAGUGAGAAAACCCUAAGAGUUGAUAGAGGGUGUUAUAUAGUAGUGUAGAGAAGAGAGAGCAUAGCAAAGAACAGCUCAGCAGAUGCCAGAUGAGAUGGAGUUAGCACUGAUUCUCACUAAUCAAGUAAUAUAAUGCUGUUUUUUACACACCCUCUCUCUCUCUCUCUCAAACUUCCACCCUGUCCCCAAAACUACCUUUCAAAUACGUCUUUUUUAAUUACUUUCUAUCAGUUUUUUUUUGACUAAAUUGUAAUAAAUUAUUUUUAUUUUAUAUUUUAAAAUAUUAUUUUUAUUUUAUAUUUUAAAAUAUUAUUUUUAUGAAAGCUUAUUUAACUUUAUUAUUUUUAUGACUAAAUUGUAAUUCCAAAAAAGUUAUUUCAAACUCAUUAUGAAAGGUUAUCUUUUUUUAUAAAAUAACUUAUCAUUUUUUGAAAGUUCAUUUUCCACAAAUAAUUUUAAUAUAUAGAUGAAAUACUUAAAAUGAUAUUUUUUUUUAUAAACUAUUUAAUUAAUCAAUUUUUCAUUUAAAGUUUUAUUAAUUUUUAAAAUUCUUUUUAAAAAAAAUUAAAAAGAUAAAAUUAUAAAAGUUCUUUUGAAAAACAGUUGUAACAAUUUUCAAAACAAUAAUGAUCCAUGUUCACUCAUUUUUUUUUAAUAUUUGUGCGAUACUUGAUUAUUUAUGUGUUAAAAUUUUAUUAAUUCGGUGAGUAGAUUGUUAGAUUAAGUCAUGUAAAAAAAAAUAUAGUUAAACAAAUUUUUUCAAACAAACGUUCGUUGUUAAAAAUAAUUUCAACGUUAAAAAAUUACAAAUAAAUGAACAAGUAUAACAAUUUUAUGAAAGUAUCUUAAUUAACUAUUGACUAUAAAUAAUUAAUAUAAAUACAUUGUAAGAUGUAACGACUUAAAAGAGGUGCAUAUUGUUUCCAAGUAAUUUGGUGCAUAUCAAUUUAUUUUUUGUUACACACUUAUCAUAUAUGUUUGAAUUGAUGUUGAAAUUAAAAGAAUACUGAUAAGUCACGGAAUUAUUUUAUAACUUUUACAAAAUUAUAAUGUCACAGUAAUUAUGCAUAACUUAAAUGAUAUGAUCUAUUUAUCUUUAAACAAAAACAUUAAUUGUGUUUUUUUUCUUCAUAUUUUAAUCAAAUUAAAUAAUAAACUAAUAUAAUGUGUAAAUUUUAUGUGGUAUAUUUAGAUUAGAGUAUGAUUUUUAUAAUUAAGAGACAAAGUGGAGCUACACUAACAGCUGCGUUAAUUACGUCAAAAGAAACAAAUACCGAUGCAAAAUUUUGUACUUACCCAACACAACCAAUUCACAUUACUAAAUACAAAAACAUCUGACUACUUAUAACUGAGAUUUAGGAGAGGCCCUCCCUCGCUGCCUACAACUAUAGGGACUACUUUGUAUUUAUAUAUAUAUAUAUAUAUAUAUAUAUAUAUAUGCAACUCUCCAUGUCAAAAAUAAGUGAGUUAUUUUACUAUUUUAAAUAUAUUAAUUUAAAAAUUAUGUUUAUUCAAUUAUUGUUAAUAUCAGAAAUAUAUAUAAUAAAAGUUAUUGUAUUAAAAAUAAUGCAAAUAACCGUUGUUUUUUAAAUGAUUUUUUUUCUUCAAACGAAUCACUAAUUAUAGAACAGAGAUAAUCAUAUUUUAUAUAAAUUGUCUAUUAAUUUUAGAUUCAUUUAUAUAUUUUACUGUUUUAGAAAUAUAGUUAAUUGUCUCGCAGUUAUAGUGAUCUCCUCUUUAUUUAUAUUUAAUGUGUAAAUUUUGUUUUAUGAUAAAAUAAAUUGUUACCGAAGAAUAUUAUUUAUAGUAAAAAGAACCACGUAACAAAACCUUUUUGAAUUACUUAAUCAAAAUGUAUGCGAUCUUAAACUGAUAGAGAAUAUUUUUUAUUAAUUGUCCAAUAUAGUCGCGAUUGUAACUGUAUAUCUUAUUAUUUGCAAUCUUCUAAGUACUGCUCUAGAAAAAUAAGAUUUAUCAUUUUUAUCUAUAAAUUAAGAGUAAUAUGUAACUUAGAGGCAUAUGUUAAAAUGACCAAAAGAUAAAAAUAUUUUUAAAAAAUAAUUUUUUAAAUUUUUAUAAAGUUGAAUGCAAAAUUAAAUGUUUUAAAACAAUAAUUGAAAAGGAAAAAAUAUCCAUAGUAGUUAAUAAAUUUGAAAAUUUGAGAAACAAAAUCUAUAAAAAAAAAAAAAUUCAUCAAUAGGUUGUAUAUAUAUUUAGAGAGGAAGUUAAUACUCCCUCAGCCAUACAAUAUAAGCCAUUUUCAGAAAAUACAUAGUUGUCUUAUUUUAUAUGUUAUUGAAAUACAAUUUUUUUUUCUUUUUAAUAUAACUAUUAAUUAUUGAUCACUUUUUUUUUCCUUUUAAGAUUCAUGAAAUCUGUCUUUCUUCAUAUCAUUUAUAAAAGAAUUUACUAUAAGAUUUCUUUUUUUUUUUUACUUGAAUGAAAGAUUAUUAUAGAAAAUAAAUUAUGUUUUUCAUAAAAUCACUAAAAUAACUUAUUUUUUUCAUUUGUAUCAUAUUUUUUUAACAAAAACUUCAUACAACCUACCUGAUUAUAAUUGAGAUUCCUUUAGAAAAAUUUGUCUUUAAAAAACUAAUCAUUAUUUCAAACAACCAAAUUAUAGAUAUAUUUUUUAUUUUAAAAUCUACUCCUUGUUAAUACCAAUGAUUUUUUUAGGAGAUGAAAAGUCAGAAUUAUACACAUUUAUAUAUAAAAGACUAGUUUAAUAUCCAUUUUCACACAAUGAGUGACAAUAAUGUAAAAAAAAAUGUCAAAGUGAAUAUUAACUAUAUUUUUUCAACUGUAUCUUUAAUUUAUACUACAUGCAAAACUCUUGAUUCAAUAUAUUAAAUUAUACAUGACUGAUAUAAGUUUUAAUUUAUAAUGAUUAUUUUAUGAUUUUCAAAGAACAAGUUUCCAUCACGGAUUAUAAAAUCAAGAAAAUAACUAUUUUUCUUAAUGUGUGUCAUAAAAUCGUUUAUCAUAACAUGUCCCUUAUUACAAUUAAAAUUCAUUUAGAAAAAUUUUGUCUUUAAAAAUAAUAUUUAUUUAAAGUUAUUAGAUAUAUUUAUUAUUAUUUUCAAAUAUGUUUUUUUAUUAAUAAUACUGAAUGUUUUUGGGAGAUAAAAAUUAAUAGUCAAAUGCAUUUAAAUAUAUAAAAUGACUCGUUAAAUAUUUUCUCUUUUUUACAAUGAGUGAAUACAUUUUCAAAAAUAUUGUCUCAAAAUAAAUAUUAUUUUAUAAUUUUCAAUGUAUUAUUAAUUACAUAUAUCUAAUUGUAUAAUAUAAUUAAUAUUACAUACAUGCAUCAUUCUCAAUCCAAUAUCUUAUAUUACCUCUUUUCAUAUAUGUAAGAGUAUGUUGAUUAAAUUACAAUAAUUUAAAAAUUAGUUGUAAUAUUAAAUUUAUUGAUAAUUUAAAUUGUUUUACGUGUUUAUCUUUAAAAAAAUGAUUUUGUUGUUGUAUUUAUUAUAAAUUACAGAAAAGAUCUAAUAUAAUUAGAGAUAAGUUAAUAAAUAAAUAAUUAAUAUAAUUAAAAAAAAGUGAAAUGUGUCUUAUAAAAAUGACCAAAACAAAAGUCUCAAGGGAGUUUAAUAUUUGAGACAAAACUAAUAUAUUUUGCGUUCAUGGUAAUGGUAAGUAACUCAAUACUUUGUAAUAUUAGUUUAGCAAAAAUACUCUUAUAUCUCUUUAUUUAUAUAUAUUUUUUAAUGUAUUUGAUAUAUAUAUUUUAAUGACAAAAAAUAAUUUGUAAAUAGGAGAGAAGUAUAAUGCAAUCAUAUACACCUUUUCGAUUUUAAAUAUAAGAAAAAAAUUAUUCAUUUUUAUGUGUUAAGUAUAAACAAUAAAUUGUUUAUUUUUACUCUUCUGAUGAUGUAUAUUCUAAAGUAUUUUCAAUUAUUGUAAGUUUUAUUUUACAAUAAAAUGACACUUUUAAUAAUAAUACACUUAUAUUAUUUAUUAAGUAAAAAACAAGUACUAAACUUAUUUUUUUUAGUAAGUGUGAUAUUAUUUAUUUUUAUUUUUAAUAAAAACAUAAUUGCACUACCACGGUUUUAAUUAUAAUAAAAAAAUAUUUGAUGGUUUAAAUUAUAAAUAAAAUUUAACUAAUUUGAAUAUAUUUAAUAUUAUUAUCUUCAAUAUAUUAUUUAAUAAAAUAAGUUUUCAUACAAAUAUAGGAUAAUUUCUGGUCUAAACAUAGAACUUUUUAUUAAAAUAAAUUUAACAUCUAUAAAUAUAUUUAUAUUUAUUUUUAGUUAAUGACACUAACAGAUCUCGAAUCUAACUUUCUUUAAUAUAUAUUUUUUUAUCAAUAGACAUUUAAGAGCAUUUGUUAAAAAUUAAAAACAAAAUUUAUAUAAAUUAUGUUAUAUUUUUUAAAAGAAAUGACACAAAAUGAGUUGUUAGCAUAGCUUAUAUAAUCUGUAUUUCUGAAAUGGAAUGGAGAAGGCAAUUAAAAAGCAGCGACAUUGUUUGACCUGCAGGUGCCGGUGAAACAACGGGGCUAUUACCUGUUACCUGAAGGUGGGUCCCAGUGAAACAGAGAGAAGAAGACAAAAGCAUUUCUUUGAAUGCGAUUCUUUCAUCAUUACCUUAUUAUUUUUAGCCUUUUUCAAUCCCUACUUUUCAUUUCUCUUGUACUCCAUUACAUUUGCACGCCCACUCUCUGUCACUCACACGCUCCUCUCUUUUAUUUUUUAUUUUACUAAAACACUCUUGUUGGACAAUCUUAUAUUAUUAUGCAUAUUGACCUUUGGAACGUACGAUAACUCUAAUAAACACCACGAAACUCGCUUCGUCAUAUAUAUAAUAUCACUUUGUUUAUUCAAUCAACCCCCUAUAACUAUAACUAUAACUAUAAGCUAAGCUACUUUAUGUUCGAUCUCUGGUCCCAGCAAAGGUAACUGUUGACUUGUGAGCUUCGAUCACCAAACCCAAUGUAGAUGUAGCCAUGUUUUUCAAAAUCGCAUCAGCCACCGGAUUUUAUAAAAUUAAAAUUUUAGUUUUUGCAAAUUGAAAAACUUAUUAAUAAAUUUGAUUUAUUUUGUAUUUCGUGUGAAAAUAUUAUAAAAAUCAAGUCAAAUUGACUAGUUUUUAUAGGGACUUCUACGAUGAGAAAUUAAUGAAAUCUUUCACUAUAAAUCAUAUUUAUCAACCGUUAAAUUAAAUAAAGGAUUUUAUCAUACAACAUACUUCAAUGAAUCUCUCUUUUCUUCCUGCUAUUAUAUAUCUUUGUAAUAUGUCCCACGUUCAUAUUCUAUUUCCUAUCUAUUUUGUUAUAGAUAAAUGCAAAUGUUCGGUAAUCUUUCAUCUUUGGUCCUUUAAAUAAUUUGUUUUUGUUUUAAAAUUUUGAUUCUUUUAGAAAAUUAAUAUAUAAUUAAUGACAUUUUUUAUUUUGUACCCUUAAACAACUAAAAAACAUAUGUUAAAUAAAUUUAUUUUUACUUAAUGAAUAAAAAGUAAAAAAUAAACUAAAAUCAACCAAAUUUAUCAUUUAUUAAAAUGAGUGUCCAAAACUAAAAGAACUAAAAUUAAGAGAAAAGAAUUAAAAUUCAGAGGAAAUGUAAUUUAUUAACUUAUUCUCAACACGUUCACAUUAAAAUAAAAAGAAAAAAGAAUUCAUAUAAAUAACCUAGUUGCAAAGAAUGAGUAUUUUCAAUAUGGCAAACAUAUGGUGUAGCACAAUAGAGAAAAAGAUGAUAAAACCACUCAACAAUGAUCGGAAACACAAUUAAAUCACAAUAUGAAGAAAUAGUAAACAAGAAAGAUUUUAAGUUAUAAAAAAAAGCACUAGCAUAUCUAGAGAAGAUGCAUUUACUCUAACACAAUUUAGGUAGAAGAAAGUCGAUCUAUUCUAGAUUUUCUUCCUACAACUCAUAUAAAUUAUAAUUAGCCUCAUUAAAAUUUUAUAUACACGUAGUCAACUCAACUCAAACUAAUUUUUCUUAUAAGGAUGUACUCAAUCUUUUUCUAACCUAACUCCAAUUUACUUUUUCGCUAAUUAAAAUAUGUGUAUAAGUUGAAUUGUCUUAUAAUUAAGAUUGAAAAACGGUGAUUAUUAAAGGGUAGAACCCAUGGAUAGAAAAUUAUAAGUGACCUGACACAAUAUUAAUCACAAUUGAUUAUAUUAUUUUUGAUUUAUAACGUCGAAGCAAUAACUAUGUCAAUGUCAUAUAAAAUAUAUAUAUAUAUAUAUAUAUAUAUAUAUAUAUAUAUAAUUAUUUAAACCCUGACAUUUAUUAUUUUAAAUGAGUAGAAAUUACAUCAAUUAAAAUAAUACAAUUUAAUGACACUAAAAUAAAAAAGAUAAAUCUGAAAAAAAAAUUAUAAUAGUUAAGAUAAUAAUAUUUUACAAAAAUGUCAACAAAUUCGAUAAAAGUAUAAAUAUAAUAAAAUUGAUACGUCUAAAAUAUUUUUUAAAGUUUGAUAUGUAGCUCGUCGACUUAAAAUACUAAUAUAUGCGAUAAAUUGUGGGACUCCUUGGGAGUUUCUUAUGUAGAUCACCGUUGCAACGUAGAUUGAAUAAGUUGUUUUAAAGUGACAUGGCUUAAUAAGAGCAGAACACGCCCAAUCUUGUUCCCAUCAUACGAUGCACACUAAAUACAUAAUGUACACGUUGUCACUAAUUUAUGAGAAAAAGUAAGUCAAUAGAAUUUGGGAAUUUGAAUAAAAAGAUUAAUUGAAAACAUAUUUGUGAAUCAAAAUGAUUAAUAAGAUUUAUAUUUAAAUAUAUUCAAUUUAUUAUUAUUUUAUGUUUAAAAAUAGUAACACAUCGUUUUUUUACAUAACUUUGUAAUAAAUUUGUUAAAAAAUACAAAAAUCUAAAAAAGUUCAUAUUUAUUUUUUAAAAAAUGCAUAUUUUUGUCAAAUUCAAACUAAAAUUAUAUGUUCUUCUUAACUUUGGUUUUGUUUUUCAAAGGUUAUUUAUAAUUAGGGAUAAAGUGUUAGAGGUGAAAAAUAGCUAGACUAAACUGUACUUUACAGCAUUUGAAUUAGAUCUAUUUUAAAAAAAUUUAGAUUUGAGUCUAAUAUAAUUUUUUUCAGGAACCUAUUUUUAAAGUAUAGUAUGAUCUUUUAAAAUAUAUAAUUUUAUAUAACAUUAAAUUUAAUUAUAUUUUAUAAUAAUUCUUUAAAUAUAUUAUUAAAAUUGAUAUAUGUCGGCAUAUUUAAAUUACAGAAAAUGUCAAAAAUUUAUAAUUUAACUAAUAUAAAACUUGACAUUUGUAAUAAUUAUAGUAAUAAGUUUUUUUAUUUCAAUGCUUUAUUUUCUUCAUUUUUAGUGAACAAAAUAUAUAUUUAGCUAUUAUAAAAUAAAUAAUUCAUUUUAAAAAAUAAAAUGAUUAAUAUCAACUAUUAAUCAUCAAAUAAAUGAUUAUUAUUUUGUGUGAAUAAAUCACAAGUGUUUAUGAUAUCGACAAUGGAUCAGUUUAUUUCACCAACUUCCCAUUUCUUAAGAGGUAAAUUCACAAAAAUAGUGAUAAUACUUUUGACGACUUAUAUAUAAAAAUGACUUAAUUAUAAUUUUAAUAUAUUUAUUUUUAUCAAUUAAUAUAAUUGAUGACCUUUAUUUAAAAAUCAAAUUUUUUAAUAAUUUAUUAUAAUUUAAAAAAUAUAACAACAUAAAUCAUAUAUUAAAUUAAUUUAUAACAUAAAUCAUAAUUAUAUAAUUUAAAAAUCUGAUUGAGCAUUAAAAGAUGUCUGAGUUUUAGAAAAUUUCAUGAUUGAAAAUAUAGAAAAAAAACAACUGCAAUAUAAAAAAAAAAAAAAAAAAAAUCGAUUAGAGGGGCUGUUUCGUGGUCCAAAUGGAUGACUAGGAUUUUGGUGGAAUUGUAAGCUGCAAAGAUAGCCACGUGGUCCAAUUGAAUGCUGGUGGGUCCCAGUUAGAGGGGACAUUAGCACGUGUACACGGAGCUAUGUGUGAAGAUGGGGGACCACCAUUAGUUUGGUGUAGGGACCACCAUUUUCAAUUAUGGGAUCAUCAUAGUGCUCAUCAGUAAGUUGUGAGUAUAGUCGUUGCGGCGAUAUAUUGCGCAUUUCCCGGGUCCUUAACUUCUUGUAUUUGAAUUCGGGUCGGGUUUAUAUUUAACACCCAACAAUCUCUCUUCUCAACCCUGUUAGUAGCAUUAUAGUCUAGUAGGACCCACUCUUACUGAUAUCAAUAGUAACAUAAUCAAAUACAGAAAUAGGUUAGCCCUUGCUAGUAAUAACAAACUAUAACAACGAUUACACAUGUUCAUUUUUUUUAUAAAAAAAGUACACGUAUUUAGCAGCACUAUUAUUAUUUUUGACCUAAGUAGCAUUAUUUUACUUAAUGUUAUUCUGAAGGAGGUUAUUUUCUCGCAUAAAGAAAAUAUUAUUUUCACAAGUUAAAAAAAGUAAUUCAAAAAUAAAUUUUAGAUAUAUUUUUGCGUUUUUAUUGAUCCACUAGCUGAAUAUUUUCAUUAAUGUAAGUUAAUAGUAAUUUAUAAAGUAAAAAUUUGUCAAUUUUUUAUAAAGAAUAUAACUCAUAAAAUUUUAAACUUUGAAAAUAACAAAUGAAUAGCAAUAUAACUUAUUUAAAAAAAUGGACAAAUUAAAGAAAGGAAGAAGAUAGCAUAUUUUGCUUUUGUAAUUGUUGUAUAGAGAGGAAGUGAAAUUUGUAUCUUCCCUCAAUUCUCGAGCCAAUACACAGGAAAGUCAUGUCCCAAUGUAUUGACUUAUCAGCGCAGACAUUUAUUACCUAUCUGCACUUAUGAGGAAGAUGUGUGCAUUUCAGACGAUGGUAUCCAAAGAUGUUUUGUUUUAGCUUUGUCACAACUUCAAAGCAUUGCAUUUUCCACAAAAACCACAUCGCAAGCUUUAUUAUUUUUAAAAGUAUAAUCACAACAGUAAUUUAUUGCACACUUGCUGAAGGACAAAAACUGGACUAAACAAAGCUGAAUUACAGGACCACUGCAAUGAAUGUAGAAUACGUAAUUUUAUUUUUUUUAAAUAGUUGGGAAGUAAUAGUAGGUGCUGCUGCGAAAAAACAGGGUGAUGGUCAUUUCUGACUACUGUCAUACUACAAUUUAAUCCUUCUCUAUAUCUUGCUAGUUGCCAUCCAGAGCAUAAAGAUGAUCUGCAAUGUUCAAUUUUGAAAACUAUCUCACUGCCGUACCACGUUGCAUGGAUUCCCAUUCCCAUAUGCAUCAUGCUUGACGGAUACAAUGCAUUCAUUGGCGUAUUGCAAAAUGAGAAUAUCCAUACUACACCCUAUACCAACAGAGACGCGGAAUCUUUUUCAAUUAUGAUGCUACAAAAGCAUCAACCGUAGGGUGACAAUUAAGAUUAUAUAGGCUUUAUAUGAUUGCAUCACCAACUACGAUUACUUAAGCAUCCUACUAACUUUUCCUGAGGAACAGAGCAAUGACAUAAGCUGUUGCUUCAAUUCAUAUAGUAAGAGGAAUUUCCAUAACUCAGUUCAACCAAAAAAAUUAACAAAAUACUACUAUAUAUCUGAUUCCUAUCAUCAUUCGCAUUUACAUCUUAUGAGGCAGUUUUCUAAGAAAGUUUUGUACAUCAAGCAAGAUUUAUUUGUAAAUAUAUAUGUGAUUUUGAUUUCCUGGUAAAAGAAUGAUAAAAUACAACAAGGAUAAUAUAUGCGUCAAAUACAGGAUGCAGCAACCUGGAGCCUCUUGGAUGGGUAGGAAGUUGUACAUUUUGCAAAUAUGAUGAUCUAUAGAAGAUACAUGGGGCGUGCCGAUUAUUACUUUGUUUUCAGAUUAUUACUUUAUUUUCCGAAACUUUUAUUGAAUUGCAGGAGCAGCCACACCUAUGCAUAUUCAAGUAUAGCACCGGUAUGAUUGAAACCACAUGAAACUUGCAAUGCUUUCACGUUUUCUGGAAAGCAAACUCUUGAAGGAUUUAUAUAAUCCACAUCACUUCCAUGACCCUGAGUUGAUAGCAUAAGCUUCAUUUAUAGUAGUGCAAUGUAUAUUUUGCAAAAUCAAAGGCAAAACACUAAUCAAUUUUAUUUAGGUGCACGGGUCCCACUAAUCAGACUGCGCACACUUCUAAGGAAACGUGACUCUUAAAUUUAAUAUGAAGGAAGUUUCUAAGUGUAGUGUAUGAAUGGGUUAAUAAUCUAUAUGAAAAUCACGAUUAAUUCUAAAAUGUCUUACGACCUUAAAUAAUUUUUUCGGUUCUCUUGUAGGACUUGUCAUAGAAUACAGCAAUCAGACCAUUGUGAUAACUUUCUCUUGAUAAACAUCUAAAAAUACACAAUGAUUAUUAUAUGACAAACAGAAACAUACCAAUUGUCCACCCGAAGAAUGUCCAUCAUCAGAGAAAGUUCCAUUGGAACCUCCCCAACCCCAUGUGAAGAUUCUUCCUCCUGAAAGUCGAUGAAAAACUUCAGGAUAGACGGCAGCAAAAAAAUUCUUUUACAUCAAGCACAAGUCUUACAAGUUAGAGUUGAGUUAAAAAUUAAAUCAGUUUAAACAAACAAAAAAGCACAACGGAAAAAUGAGAAGCAUUCCUCCACAUGCUACAUUCCAAAAAAGUGAAUUUAUAACUCCAGCCAUGCGCAGUGCACAUGCAGCUCUGUCCAAAAAUCCAUGAAGACUAUGCCAGUUUACACGCAGGGAAAAGCACUUUUUAACCUUUAAAACAAACACUAAGUAUGCACCAACAAAUAAUGGAAACAAAUAAAAAGACUGAAAUUCUCCAAGAGGCAAGAAACCUAUUAACGGCUUUAAAUUUCUACUUCCUCAUUCCAAAAAAGAAAUUCAAUUAGCUAACUGUCUAUAAGACAAGUCUAAGCAGUGUAACUUGAAGAUAAAGCAAAACUUUUCUGAUACGUUUCUUGGCUGUCAGUACAUUUGCUCAAUGGCCAUAUAAAUAUGACAAUUGAAGUAGACAUGCUUCUUUUAUGGAAAAAGGGUGGGAAAAAAAGAUGCUUUUAAGUUCAUUUAAAGAUGUAGAAAAUGAACUGUAUAUAGGCACUUCAGCAAUCCCAGCUUCACACAGGACUAUAGGUAUUAUGUAGACUUCAAUUAUACUUCAUGUCUUUUAAUGCGAUUUCAACCAUUAUUCUCAGAGAUGAACUUUUCUUUUACCAUUUUGACAAGGGAAAUCCUUGGCUUCACCAAUAACUAUAAAUAAUUGAAACUAUCAAAUACAUAUUCAAUACAAAUAUUCAUGGGUAACUUUGCUUCAUUGGCGUCUUCCCUGUCUUGAUGAAACAACUUUUGAUAAUAAAAAAGAAAAGUAAGCCAUACCUCUACAUUAAUUUAACAAGAGAAAGGUACUCAAUGAUGAGGUACUUCUUUUUAUCUCUUAUGUGAAGACAAGAACUUACCACAAAUGGCUGCUGUAUGCUUCCAACCACAAGAAACUUGAACAACAGAAGACUCCAAGAAUGGCUCUUGAAUCUUUUCAGGUUGAUGAAUGGCAUAUGAGGACCUAGAAAAAAAUAUGAAGAAUCAAAACACUUGAUUGCAGCAGAAAAAAGGGAAUGGCAAUGUAAAAAAUGAAGACGACAAAGUAACAAGUUGUAAUAAUAAAAAGGAUACCCUAUGCCAAGGCAACCAUUUUCAUUUGAACCCCAAGUAUAAAGCUCACCAGAAUCUAAAAAACAAACACAAAAUAGAAUGAAGCAAUACAGGAAUUAUCAAAAAUGAAGUCAUGUUUAAGUUCCGAAGCUGAUGAUUACUUGUCAAGACACAGGUAUGAUAGCCACCACAAGCAACUUCUUCAGCGUAUGGAAGUUCACUGACCAACAAUGGUUUUGUUGCAUUACUAGUCUCCUUCAAGCGCUGAAUAUGUUGGUUGAAGAAUUUUUUGUCAUUGCAAGUAGAAGAAGAAAAAGUAACAAUUCACACUGAUUGCACAAUUUGCACUUACUAAUUUGUCAAUCCCUUUCUCCCCAAAUAUAAAAACAGAACCAUUUUCUGCAAGAUUUGCAUGAUAGAAGCGCAAAAACCAAAGAUUAAUCGCAGAUGCAGGGUACGACCAAGGUAUGAAACAAGGAAGGUAUAAUUAAAUUCAAUUACCAUCCGUACAAGCCGAGUUUAGCAUCCCAGCAGCUACAUAGUUUACCUAAAAAUAUUUCAAAAAUGAAGCCAAAACAGCAUAGGUGAUAAGCAACAAGUUUGAAUAAAAGUUAUCGAUCUUAUAUAGUAACAACAAGGCAUCAAAUUUAAUCGCACCUUGAUUCCUUCAAGAUCCUUUAUAAGCCUUGGGGUGUACUCACUGCAUGAUGUCAAAAACUACGUCUUAAUAGAUCCAAAUAGAUUAAAAAGAAUGGUAAUCUUCCAAUUAAUCUCUCAAGAAUUUUGAUUCAGGGUCCAACUCAACCCAACAAAACCAACUUGUAGGGAUGGGAUGCCCAAACCUUAUAAGCACUACUUCGGCCAUAUGAAGCGCAAACUACUAUGAACGGAAUAACAUGAUCUCAACACACCCCUUGACACUCAAAACUGAACAUUUGCAGCGUGUGGAUUGAUUGAGAUCUUGAUACAAUAACAAAUCAAAGAUAUAUUCCAAUACCAUCUUGAGCUUGGAUCUUACUCAAUCCCACAAAUUGGUCUUACAAGGUGAGGAUCGCUCAAACCUUAUAAACAAGACCUACACCUUAUUUGUAGUCAAUGUGGGCCUUUAGCCCAACCCCGUAUGCUCAAGUUGGACAUGUGACGCGUGAACUAAUACAGGGGAAAUAAAAGAGAUCUCAAUAGAAUCCUAGUCUAAGUUGUUGGCGAUACUAACAAAGUGCAGAACACAUAACAUUGUCACAUUUAUUUUCUUUUAACUUUUUUCAGUUUAAAAGAUUUAACUAGAGCGAGAUUUAGGAGUAGCUGACGUAAUUUUGGGUCUUAUGUGGUCGAAAGCUUUGGGGAAGGCCAUAACGAACUGGAGGGCAUGUAAUUAGGCUGAAGGGCAAUGGUACUUCUAACCAGAGGCGAACGAGAAGCAAAUGAUGGGGAGAAAAGAUGAAGGAGAUAGUAAAAUGAUGAGUUUUGAUUUUAGUCCCUGUAUCAACUAAAUGAUGGAUGAGUCACAGAGAGAAAGAGAGCCACGUCAUUAAAAUUUGCCACGUCACACAUACCAAUGAGAAUCCUGUUAGCCACAUCAGCUUUUUUGUAACAGAGGUUGACGUCAGGAACAAAAAUGAUGGUUUCUAACUUUGUAUUGACGAAAUCCAAACAAAAACACUUAUAGACCAAAACAAAAAAUAUUGCUACAUUUGCAGACAGAAAAAUAUUUUUAAAUCUACAAAGAUCUACUAUUUAUACUAGGUUAACUGCUCCAACUAUUUGUAACAAACUAAAGUAAUACUACAUCCGAGUAAACUAUACUCUCGUACAUUUAUGCAGAGGUAUACAUUUAGUUCUUUUACAGCAAGGGGUGACUCCUAUCAGUGUAAGACCAUAUAGGUAUCUAGUACCCUCACUGUUAAAUGGAUAAGAUGGAAAAACAAGCUCAGUCUGUGCUGCGGUAGAGAAUUAUUCAGAUCAGCUAUAAUAAAUUUCCAGUUUCGUUGUAUUGAUAAAGAAGAAGGAUAAUUCAUGGAGGAUGUGUAUUGAACAUAAGUAUUCAAUAGGGUCACUGUACAAGACAAAUACUCCUUUCUCGGUGUAUGAACUUAUUGAUGAAUUGUUUUGGAUAGUUCCUUACUCUUUUCUAAACUUGACCUUAAAACCGGCAACAAAAUCUGGAAGGUGGAGAAUGUUCAAAAGACGACGUGUUAAACACAAGGGCCAUUAAAGUUCCUGGUCAUGUCUUUGGAUGAACACAAUCAUAAUUUUGAGGAAGUCCUUCAAGAAUCACAUCCAAGUGUUCAUGAGAAGUGACUAAAUGACCAACAGAAAAGAGUGCAUUAGCCAACCAAUGCAUUUACAAGUAAGAGAAACUCAGGAACUGUGAGAAUAUCCAGAGAGGUUUACACAAUUCUGAGCAUCAUAGGCUAGCUUUAGAAAGAAAUAGGUGCGAAUAAGAGUAAACACAACCAAGACUCAAGACAGAAUCCCACUAGAAAGUGAACAUUGAAUACACAAAGUGAUCAUGUUGUUCCCAAGCAAGAUAGGUUGGAUUGAUGCAGUUAGAGUCAUGAUCUUGUUCUGACAAAAAAUAAAACAGAAUCGUUGGAGAAACAAAAAAAUGAGUGCCUUUAUAACAAAUUUGAUACAUAGCCUCUAACGUAAUAAUGAAAUAUUAGCAGUAAUUUUCAAAAACUCCAAAUUUCUUGAAUGAGUGCAGGAUAGCAGAUGAGGAGGAAAAAUUGGAUGCUCACUUGAUCUAGGAGUAUGGAAGACAGAAAAAAUAGUGUUGUUUUUAACAUGUUCCGAUUAUAAUUCUAUCAAAAAAAGAGUGAAAAUAGUACAAUGCUUUCUUUUAAUGUAAAACAUUUAAUAGGGCAAAGCACCAAGGAGGUAAGUCAUAGAUUUUAUACCAUAAGGUGGCAAAGUAGUUUGGGAACAAAUCAUACAAGGUAAAGUGUAUUAAUAUAACAUAAAUACAAAACAAUGCAGCAAAAAUUUGUGAAAGAAAAGACAGGAAAAAACCUGUAGCUUUUGAAGAAUCCUAGUACGCUUGACUCAUGGCCAUGACCAAGUCGACCAGACACUCCCAUUCCCCAACUAAACGCCUCUCCUCCAUCUAGAAAAGACAGAAACAACAAUAGAGAACAUAAUAAUAUUCUAUUUAGAGCAUGAUACAAGGCACGCUAGCUGUGAACAACAGGACUAAAAAAGUAGGAUUAACCUCAUAGGAAGUGAUACCCUAUGUUCUUUUUUAUUGACACAAGUAAUAGCUACCGUGAAGAGAAUACAAAUUGUCAAAUACCAUCUCAUCCUGAAAGUUCAAGCAACUAGGUCCAUGCCUGAGUUAUACUUUUCAUACAUUAUCACUACCAAGGCCCUCAAACACUCUUUUAACACUACCAAGGCCCACAGGCAACUCAGUCCAUGCCUGUGUUAUACAUUUCAUACAUCAAUACUACCAAGGCCCUCAAACACUCUUUUAGAUUGAAGUGCAUAAUCCUGGCACACACAGAACACUCAUGUAGCACUAGUAUGUACAUUAUUGACUUAUACAUCAUUUCGCAAUCGAUAUAUAUAUAUAUAUAUAUAUAUAUAUAUAUAUAUAUAUUAUAAAAGGGUCUUAAUUUAUGAAAGGGUCUUAAUUUUAUUGUAAGAGAAUUUGAACCGAAAAAACAAUGCAACCACCUUUGUCAUGUUAAUCACCUUCAAGAUAUGAGGAUAUUUCUAAGUCACGUAAUGCAGGAUACUAAAAAGAAGCUAUAAUCAAGUCAAAAUUCAAGAUUGCUUACAAUAAGCUCACUCUAAUGUUUUAUAGAUCUUUAGUAUGCUGUUACCAUUUAUUAAUUUCAUUUCAGAUCUUUCAUUCCAGGGAUUUUUCAAGCAUUUGUUCAUUUUUUUUAUGACCAUAGGCCAUAGUUAGGCAUUAUUAGUUAAAAUGUAAUCUUAAUUCUUGAGCUAAAGCCACCCCAUCUAAACCUUUUUUUUUUUUCGCCUUGGAUAUGAAAAUUCAUCCGCAAUGUAUCUCAGAGGGAGAGAAUGAUGCACAUAUCAGAUGAGGAAAAUUUAUUUUAUUUUAGGAAUAACUGUGUUAGCUUAUUUCUAAAUAUCUUAUAAUAAUGAAGAAUAAAAUUAUUCUUAAGGAUUCUCUUUGAAGUUUUUCUUUGUGUGAUUAGUAUAAUGAGUCUUACUUGACCUGAUUCCCAAUAGUAACAAUCUCAGUAUAAGUUUUUUCUUGGUGCUGUCUAUUGUAUCACAUAGUAAUUCACCUAAUCAAUUUCAUACCCAAUUAUUCAAAGUCUCUUCUCUCUUUUUCUAUCUGAAACCAGUAAAUUUCUAAUUGGGAUGUGUCAAGA
rnacentral:lncRNA from 1 species